ACGUUGAUAGGAGGCAGGUGUAAAGACGGUGACGUCAAAGCCGAGCCUUACUAAUUGCCCGAUAGCUUUUGC
rnacentral:rRNA from 1 species